CCCUCAGUGUCUCCGCAGGUGCAGGGAGCACUGCAGUGCGGCCAGGGCAACCUGCAGCACUAAUUAGUGCUACUGUUAAUUGGGCUGCAGCGGGCAGAGAGAAAACCCUGCAUACUCCCCCAUGCCCAUCCAUGCUGGGGAACAGCUGGGCUCUAAAGCUGAUGUGGGUUUCUAAGCAGAUGGGGUUCCUCCUGUAUGGAAUGGGGGAUCCCGAGCUCACGGCUCCUGCUCAGAAAUCCUCAAUAUCAGGAUGAAAUGAAGCAGUGAGAAAUGAAUUCAUUCCCUUUUCUCCUAUUUGUAUGAAAGGAAAGACUAAUUAAAUAGCCCAAAUUAGAAACUUGAGUUCCUCAAAUUGCUUUGCUUUUCCAGCAAAUGUGGCCCCAGGGGAUGGCAGUCACAGGUGGCAUGGAGGGGUUGGGAAACAGGAGUAUCAUUCUGCAGGGGUACCCUUGAAAAGCUGAAAAACCCAUCGGUUUUGGCCAGCCUCCUAUAAGAGCAUCACAUUCCAGCAGGCUGCUUCUCAAGAAUAUAUGGAUAGAAUGAAUAGGGAUGGAGGAAGGCUUGAGAAUGCUGCCCAUCCUGCUUGCUCUCACUGCAGCAAGUUGGAGUCAUGGGAUGGUUGGUGUUGGAAGGGUCCCUCAAGGCCAUCAGGUCCAAGCCCUGCACUGAGCAGGGACACCCACAGCUCCAUCAGUGCUCAGAGCCCCUCCAGGUGACCCUGGGUGUCUGCACCACCUCUAUGGGCAGCUUGUGCCAUUCAGUGCCUCACCAUGUUCUUGAGUGAAGGGAAUGUGAGAAGUGUGGGAGAUGGAAAAGGGUCAGGUAGCACAUAUGUACCAUUCAGGCCUUCCAAACCCUUCAGAUUAUCACUUUGUAAGUUUAAUAGAUAGGGUACACAAAGGAACCGGUCUAACUAAACGGGGGAAGCCUUUUGUGUUAGGAACGACCGUAAUCUAAUACGACUCUUUGGCAUGAUUCAAUUAAAUCCUUUCUCUUCCAAUUAAACAAUCAGACAGAAUUUAAUAAAAACCAAUUUCUACGUGUCAUCCUCCGGAAUGAUGACCUCUGAGAUUGGAUGGGCUUGUGUAAGUUCUGCUGAUGGCUCUUUAUCUGCUUGUGUAGUCACCUCAACCAGACACAAAAUAGCCUUUAUGUUAUUUUCUCAUCUGCUCAGUGGAUCUCUGUUCUGUUUCAUUCAAUUCAUUCAUUCCUGAACUGUCGUUCCCAAUUGGAGAAGACCACCGAGAUCAUCUAGAUCAACUGUCAUCACCAUGGCCACUAACCCAUGUCACCAUUUCCCCUGUGAUAAGUGCAGUAAGACAUCCUUGUCUUUGUUGAGCUGUUUGGGGACUCCAAAACCGGAGCCAAUCCAGCUUAUAAAGUGUCUUGGGUGGGGGAACUGCAUCAUCGCAGCUUAAGGCAGCAAAACCAAGCUGAGUUCUAAACCCCCCACACUGACACAUCCCAGUUACCUCAGUGCAAACCUGAGGGAAUCCCAUUGGGAAGGGGGAGCUGAGAAAACUGUGAUCCGAGGUAUCUGCCUCUAGUAAAGCUGUGUUAUGAUAAUAGGAAGCAGACUUCUAGGCCCCUGGCAAACAAAUGGCUUCCAUAGCAUAUUUCACAGCUGAGCGCAUCAAUGGCACGGGCCUUUCUGCAGCUCUGUUAAACCCAACAUCUCUUUAAUGAAUUGCAGCAACCCAAAGUAUCCACAUUCUGCCUGUGCUUCAGCUUUUAUGGGAAGACAUUGGGUCCUCUCCCCACCGAGGAGCCUCCUCUAUCACAUAUCUAUCACAUAUCUAUCACAUAUCUAUCACAUAUCUAUCACUUAUCUAUCACUUAUCUAUCACUUAUCUAUCACAUAGUACCCAUGGAUCAUCCAGUCCAAGCCCACCCCACCCCCAUCAUGCCCACUAACCAUGUCUCCCGAUGCCACAUCCCCGUGUUCCUUUAACACCUCUCUAACAUUUGAACUUCUUGUCUUCCAAAAGCACCUUUCCAUCAUGGAAGAGAGAAACGGAGCAAAGAGAAUGCAAGUCAAGCCAAGUCGAUGUGAAAUGCCAUUUCCUCUUCCUCCCCAGUCAGAAAUGAGAGGGGAGAAGUGUUGUUGGCUUUUGUGUAAGCACGGGGUGAGAUUGAGUCCUACAGCAUGGAGCCAGCUCUUGGGAAAGCAGAAUGGGAAGUCCAUUGAGACAUCUGCUCUGCAGACCCAAUUUGCAUCUGCUCAGACACUAUUAUAAGGAUCAGAUAAGAGCUUAAAUGAAUGGGGAGAAUCUGAAGCUCCUUCGAUAGCAGGAAAUAAUUGCCAGGGAAAAAAAAAUCCUGUGAUCAAUCAGCAGACAAAUAUAUACUUAAAUUAGGUGUUAGUGGGACGGAUGCAAGUAAGGUGAUUAUGGGUUGCCUCUGUGUUUCCUUUGGCAACGAGGAUGACACACAGGGUAGGUCAAUGCACCCUAUCAUUAAUAAAGCAUCAGCAUUCCUCUGACGGCUUCUUUGUCCUGUGAAGUCAAUUCCUAUCAGGAUGUAACAUUAGCAUGGGGAAAUUCAGCCGCCUUUGAGUCUUCAUGACCCCCUUGAUGCUUGCAGAGGGCAGGUAGCAGGCUAGCCCUGUGCGGUCCUGUGUUGGGCAGGAGGCAGGAGCAAAGCCUUGCACCAGUGCCUAGGCUAUCCUGCUUUAGUGCAAUGCAAGAAUAUAAACCCAAACUACCAUGUUUGGGUAUUGCACUAUCACACGUUUGGGCUAAUCAUACUGAAAUCCACUGGUGGUUGAUGCACCCCAAUGAAACAGCCAGCCAUGGGAGCACAGGGUGCAUGCUUCUUUUAAUAAAGUUGGUUUAACUUCUGACAUACAUUAAAAAAUAAUAAUAAUCCAUAACUGCAAGCGUGAUAAAGUAUCUUAGUAUUAAAUCAAUACCGAGGCGAUUAGCAGCCUUUGAAGUAUUCCAGCCCUAACUCAGCCUGUGGCAGGAUGUCUCCAAGAGGACUGAGAGAUGCCUGGAGUUGGGAUGUUUGGAUGUGCUAAAAUGGAGCUGGAGAUAAGAACUGAUACUGAUGGUGGGAGGGCUUUAAGGAGAUGAUGCCCAUAAAACCUUUUGUUCCGGUGCAAGUGGAAAGAUAAAGCCUCUCCCAUUGAGAAGCCCAUUAUCAUUAAAGUUGGAAAGAACCAUGAAAUUCAUCUGGCCCAACCAUCAGCCCAUCCCCAAUGUGCCCACCCUUAGAAUCAUUAAGGUUGGAAAAGCCCUUCAAGUUCAUCACAUCCAACCGCUUACCCAUCCCCAUUACACCCAUGGAUCCAUGUGAUGGAGUCACUGGAAGAGACCACUACGAUCAUCCAGCCCAACGAUCAACCCAUCAAAGAUGAAGCUGUGUUGGCCAUUGUGCCCAACAGGGACUUCAAACCCAAGAGCUCUAGGAGGAAAAUCGAAUGAAGAUGUCAAAACAGUGCUACCUGUGCCUGGGGAAAAAGGAGGUGUGGUGACCCCAAACGCACAGCGCUCUGUGUGACGGGGAAGCUCUGCAUUGCCGUUGCAAUUAAGAAUCGCGUUGGGUGGGAGGUGGGCAAGGAAAAUCAGAGGGGGAAAACCCUGCAGCUGAGAAGAGUGGGGAGGAAGGAGGGAGCGUAGAGCAGAAAUAGACCCUAAUUAAGUCUUCCUGAAGCUUGCUUGAGAGCUAAUCCUCAAAUCUCGAGAUAUGCUGGGAUACAGAUUUACAUUGGGAUGGUGAAGGCUUGCUUUGGUUCCAUCAGUGCAAGAAAACAUAGAUUACACCUCCACAGUACACACUUCACUGAGCUUGGAGAGCAAAGCUAACAUUGUUUUUUAAAAGAAAACAGGGAUGAAUACUUAAAAAUAAUAAAAACUUGGUGAAUAUUCAUCUGAACUCUUAA